rnacentral:lncRNA from 1 species
UAGCCAUCGAACUUAGGACCAAAUCCCUCUUACACACCUUUUUUACACAGGUUUUAUUAUACACAUCAAACCUUUCAAAAGUGUGUCAAUUACACACUACUUUAUCUAUGUGUCAUUCGUGUGUUACACACAUAAAAACAAGCUCUUGAAUAAUUUUUACACUAAUUAAAAAAUCAAUAAAAAAAAAAAUAAACCCUCCCUCUCUGUCUUCUUCCCCAGACCCAAUCCCCCAUCCACAUUCAAGAAAACGCCAUUCUUCUCUCCAAGUCCAAUAAAUUUCUUCCAUCACCCACAAAUUCCUUCUACUUCUUCCCCCCAAAACCACCAACACCCUUUACUGUUACAACAAUGGCGGCAAUAUAAUUAAUCCCAAAUUUUACCCAUCAAACUUACGAUCAAAUCCAUGGUAAAGAAAGGGAAUUUCGUUAGGGUUUUAGAUGAAUUAGGAGAAGAAGAAUAAGAAAAUGACUGGCCGUUGGCGGUGUCUUUUGGUUGAGGGGUGGCUGACGAAGAAAGUUCGGGGCAGUGCGGUCGUGGGACGAAGUUGAUCAUGGUGUUUGGGACGAUUGGGACUGGUCGUUUGGCGUGGCUGGAGGCUGACAAGAAUGGCUGGCGCGAGGGCAAUUUUUUGUUCAGCUUCGUCUUAUUCUCAAAAUAAAGAAGAAGAAGGAACAGUCUUCUUCACAAAAUAAAGAAGAAGAAGGAACAAUAGUCUGUCUUUUUUUGUUUUUUUCUUCAAAAUAUUAUCAAUGUGUGUAAAUUUAGUAUUUUUUUUCUUCUUGAGUUAGGAUACAUGUCAUGACAUUAUUGGCUCGUGAUUUUACACAUAUUCUGAAAAAUUAGUAUAUGAAAAAGUGGUGUGUAAUUAAUAUACUUUUGAAAAAUUUGGUAUAUAAAAUUAAACUCGUGUAAAAAAAAUAUAUAAGAAGAAUUUGGUCCUAAGUUCGAUGGCUAUAUUAUGUAUUUUGCCGAGAAAGUAUGUAUUAUCCUUUCCAGUUAUCAUGUCCAUGUGAGAUGCUAGCCACAAAAGUCAAGAAGUUAAUGCACUUGAAAAAAAAAAAUACAGACAUAUAAAGCUUAAUUAGUAUACUCUAACGUCUUU